rnacentral:lncRNA from 1 species
AAGUUGCAAAGUCUGGUGCAAAGAAGAGAAACAGACAUGCUUAAAGGAAGUGAACUGAUAAGAGAUUUAAAUUGCAUGCUACAUUUUCAUGGAUCUUGUUGUUUUCCCCCGUUUUGUAGUUUUUGUGUUCUAGAACUUGAUUCUAGUUUUUUGGAGUUCAGUUUGGUACAUUAUUUAUUCUAUUUUCAAUACAAGACUAAAAUGCCAUGUUAUUAUACUGUCUUUAAAUUGUGUCUUUCCAUUUUUAUUAUAUCUCAGAUUUAAACUUUCCAAAUGGACCGCAUAAUUUCCUCUUUUACAAUUUAAG